AGUGAACGCUGGCGGUAGGCCUAACACAUGCAAGUCGAACGGCGGCACAGUAAGAGCUUGCUCUUACGGGUGGCGAGUGGCGGACGGGUGAGGAAUACAUCGGAAUCUACUUUUUCGUGGGGGAUAACGUAGGGAAACUUACGCUAAUACCGCAUACGACCUACGGGUGAAAGCAGGGGAUCUUCGGACCUUGCGCGAUUGAAUGAGCCGAUGUCGGAUUAGCUAGUUGGCGGGGUAAAGGCCCACCAAGGCGACGAUCCGUAGCUGGUCUGAGAGGAUGAUCAGCCACACUGGAACUGAGACACGGUCCAGACUCCUACGGGAGGCAGCAGUGGGGAAUAUUGGACAAUGGGCGCAAGCCUGAUCCAGCCAUACCGCGUGGGUGAAGAAGGCCUUCGGGUUGUAAAGCCCUUUUGUUGGGAAAGAAAAGCAGCAGGUUAAUACCCCGCUGUUCUGACAGUACCCAAAGAAUAAGCACCGGCUAACUUCGUG
rnacentral:rRNA from 1 species